rnacentral:rRNA from 1 species
UUUCGCAAUGCCCGAAAGGGUGACGAAGCGACGCCGCGUGCGGGAAGAAGGCCUUCGGGUUGUAAACCGCUGUCGGGAGUUAAGAAAUGUAAGGAUGUUAAUAGCAUCUUUACUUGACUAAGGCUCCGGAGGAAGCCACGGCUAACUCUGUGCCAGCAGCCGCGGUAAUACAGAGGCGGCAAGCGUUGUUCGGAAUAUUGGGCGUAAAGAGCACGUAGGCGGCUAUGUAAGUCGGUUGUGAAAGCCUUCCGCUCAACGGGAGAACGGCAUCCGAUACUGCAUGGCUUGAGUGCGGGAGGGGAGAGUGGAACUUCUGGUGGAGCGGUGAAAUGCGUAGAUAUCAGAAGGAACGCCGGCGGCGAAAGCGGCUCUCUGGCCCAUAACUGACGCUGAGUGUGCGAAAGCUAGGGGAGCAAACGGGAUUAGAUACCCCGGUAGUCCUAGCCGUAAACGAUGGGCACUAAGUAGAGGGGUUUUA